GGUUGAUCCUGCCAGUAGUCAUAUGCUUGUCUCAAAGAUUAAGCCAUGCAUGUCUAAGUAUAAACUGCUUAUACUGUGAAACUGCGAAUGGCUCAUUAAAUCAGUUAUAGUUUAUUUGAUGGUACCUACUACUCGGAUAACCGUAGUAAUUCUAGAGCUAAUACGUGCGUAAAUCCCGACUCCUGGAAGGGACGUAUUUAUUAGAUAAAAGGCCGACCGGACUCCGUCCGACUCGCGGUGAAUCAUGAUAACUUCACGAAUCGCAUGGCCUCGUGCCGGCGAUGUUUCAUUC
rnacentral:rRNA from 1 species